rnacentral:rRNA from 1 species
GAACGGUAACAGGUUAAGCUGACGAGUGGCGAACGGGUGAGUAAUAUAUCGGAACGUGCCCAGUAGUGGGGGAUAGCCCGGCGAAAGCCGGAUUAAUACCGCAUACGACCUACGGGUGAAAGGGGGGGAUCGCAAGACCUCUCGCUAUUGGAGCGGCCGAUAUCAGAUUAGCUAGUUGGUAGGGUAAAAGCCUACCAAGGCGACGAUCUGUAGCUGGUCUGAGAGGACGACCAGCCACACUGGGACUGAGACACGGCCCAGACUCCUACGGGAGGCAGCAGUGGGGAAUUGUUCGCAAUGGGCGCAAGCCUGACGACGCAACGCCGCGUGGAGGAUGAAGAUCUUCGGGUCGUAAACUCCUUUCGAUCGAGACGAACGGCUUCCGGGCUAAUCACCGGGAGAGUGACGGUACCGAGAGAAGAAGCCCCGGCUAACUCCGUG